UGUACCGAACAAUAUUGCGAUGGGGGGACGGAGAAAGCUAGGCCAGCACACUGUUGGACGUGUGUUUAAGCGCAUAGGUUGAAUACCAAGGAAAAUCCGGGUAUUUAAGACUGAAACGUGAUGACGAGUCUCUACGGAGACGAAGUGGUUGAUGCUCUGCUUCCAGGAAAAGCCUCUAAGCUUCAGAUAUUGUUUGACCG
rnacentral:rRNA from 1 species